AGUCCGAUCCCUUUCGUAAUCUUUAAAAGACCUGUUCUCUUCUGCCUCCCCAGCCAAAAACACACCCGGGAGCGGGGUCCUCUAGACCCACUCCCUCACGCGCGUCCUGCUGCGCGUUAACUGGAAGGCGAAACCGACACCGAAAACCAGGAGUUUCAGCCACCCCCCCCCCCGGUCGGCGACCGAAACUCCAGGCUCCAUUUACUUCUGGCCCCGGGGAAGGCUGCAGCCCGGCCGCCCCGAGCCGGCCGCCGGCGCUCCCCUCCCCCGCGCGGCACCCACCUCGCGGCAGCGGCUUCGCCUCGCCGUUCUCAUCCCGGGCGGCGGCGCCGAGGCCGUGCUGCCUCCGCUUCUCCUUCUCGCGCUUCUCCUUGGGUCUGCGCGGCUUGGCGGCGGCCGGCGGAGCGACGGGCGGGAGCAGGACGCGGUGAGGCUGAGCGUGCAGCAGCGAGGGAGUGACCAGCAGUUUGCGCGGCAGCGGCUGAGACGAGGAAGCGGAGGCUGAGGAGACGCUCGGGCUGGCGGAGAAAGAGUAACAGCUCCGAGAGGUGGACGACGAGGAGGCGGCGGGCCGAGCCGCGAAGCUCCACGCCGCCGGGCUGCCGAAGCUCUGGGGCUGCAGCUGUCCGCCGUUCCCGCCGCUGCCCCCCUCCCCGUUCACUCUCCGCGGCGCCUUCUUCUCCUCGGUGCGAACCUUCUUGGCAGACAUAGAGCCCGGCGGCUCCCGCGAGGAAGGCUGUACUUUGCCAGAUGCUUCCUUCUCAGAGAGGAGAGCCACGGCGCCGCGAGCUGGGUUCGGCGGUUCCGCCAUUUUGCGCUCCUGUUGUAUUUACUCUCCGCCGCUCCCCGGAGCGGGGGCGCGGGGCGGGGUGCCUAGGUCCAGGCCGAGCUCCCAUUGGGCGCGCUAAACUGAGAGAUCCCGGAACAAACCAAUCAAAGACGCGGACAGAAGCCGUCGGGGUGGGGUCACCGAGCGGACCUUCAUUUGGAGGUCAGAGGUCUUUUCGGCGCGGCUGACGGAGAGCUCUCUGAGAAGGGAGGAUCUCCCGACCGUCGCUCGGGAGCCCCGAAUCUGCCCGGACCGAGGUAGCGCUGCCGUUCGCUUAAAGACUUUGCCUUGUUUGUACCGCUCUCUCUUUUUACCUUGAGGUGGCUUGGGUCCCUUCUGCAGGUUCUGAAAAACGAGUUCUGGGUUGCUCGUCUCGGAGAAAAUUUGUCGAGAGUCCGAUCAGCAAAGGCUGAAAUGGUGAAAAGUUGCCUUAUUUUAACUAAGGUCGUAAAAGUUCGUACUUUAAAAGAGAGUUUUCUGCAGAGCUGGAACUUGGAUCACUUCCGAUCGUGAAGAUAAAAAUCACCCACCGUUUGGAGGCUUUAAGUUGACCUAGAGUGCUAAAGGUUUUCACUUUAAUUAUUCUUUAAACGACACCAGGAAAAAGCCAUUAGCGGUGUUUGUGAAUGUUUGAAAAUGCAGUUAGAUUUCUGUAUUUCAGAGUCAGCGCUAUGAAACUUCGCCAAGCAUGUACCUUGAUUUUUAUCUCAAAAGAUAAGGAAUUGGGGGGGAUGGGUUACAACACAGCUCAAGCUUUAGACAAGAGCAUGCCAUAAAGUCUUAGAUCUUGUAUGAGAUUAGAAUGUAAAGGUAACACCUGGUCAAAUUAGCUCAGCAAGAAAAAGGAGUUUUCUGAUCCCUAAGAGGGACAUUAGCUGUUACUUUCCGCAGCUAACAGUUGCCUUUCAGGAAACUGCAAUGGUCUGUUGUUACUCCUCUUUUACUCCAAACCCGCUUCUUUAGGACUUGGUGAGGGGAACACAUCAAAAUUUAAUGCUGUUUGUAAAUACAUUUUUUUUUGUUGUUGGUUGGUUGGUUCGUUCGUUCGUUUGUUUUUUGAGUCAUAGUCUUCCAAUACCGUCCUGGCUGUCCUGUAAACCAGCCUGGCCUCGAACUCAAAUCUACCUGCAUUUGCCCAACUCCCUUUCCCCCAGUGCUGGAAUUCAAGAAAGGUGUGUACCACUGCAUCUGUCCUCAUUGUUUUUAGUUUUCAGAAGUAAAUUGUUAAUAUAUAGAGUAUUCCCUGAAGCUAGACCCAGAGAGACAAAUUUUGCAUAUUUUCUCUAAUGUGUGUAAUCUAGUUUUAAAAACACACACACAACAUAAAAAUAGAAGGGAAAUGGGAAAAAGAAAGGCGAUGAGCAUAAGAAAGAAAGGCACCUCAUCUCCCUCACCUGGGAAUGAGUAUGUCCACAUCCAGGGCAGGGGAUGAGGGAGUGGUGGUGUGACUGAGCAAACAAGGGUACAUGGAUGAAAGUGUUGGAAUGAAACUGAACGCUAAGUAAGAAAACAAAAAGGAAAAGGGGUUUCCUCUCUAGAUUAUCUAAUUAGGACAUUCAUAACAGUGUCAGUUAGUCUAAUGAUCUUUUUUUUUUUAAUUUUUUUGGUUUUUCGAGACUGUAUAGCCCUGGCUGUCCUGGAACUCACUCUGUAGACCAGGCUGGCCUCAAACUCAGAAAUCCACCUGCUUCUGCCUCCCAAGUGCUGGGAUUAAGGGUGUGUGCCACUGCUGCAAGGCUCUAAUGAUCUUUUUAAAAUGCAUUUUUCUAUUUUUUUCUCUUUUAGAAAGCAUUUGCUUGUGCAAAGGGGAACAAUGUCCGGGAGCAGAAUUAAUGAUCUAUUAAAUAAAAACACAACUAUGUUAUGUCUGCAUGGCAAAAAUUAAAUAUUCAGCCAGGCAGUGGUGGCUCACGCCCUUAAUCCCAGCACUUGGGAGGCAGAGACAGGCAGAUUUCUGAGUUCGAGGCCAGCCUGAUCUACAGAGUGAGAUCCAGGACAGCCAGGGCUAUACAGAGAAACCCUGUCUCCAAAAACCAAAAUAAAUAAAUAAAUAAAUAUCCUAGCAAAAAGCGGGUGCUGCAGUGAACUGGCCUGUCUUCCUGAGGAGUGGCAUACAAUGGGGGAAACAAUAGGACUGGCAGUUACCCACUCACCAGCCUUGAGAUUCUACUCAGGCCGCUUUGCCUGGGAAGCUCUCUGUUGUCUUAUUUGGUAAAUUUGACUACAAGGUUCCUCUAUUCUUGAUUUGCCAUUUUCAAGAUUUGCAGAAUCACAUUGAAACUGUUAAAGUUAAAAUAAUUUCUCAGCACACUGGAGGCAGAUCUGCAGGCAAAUCUCUGAAUUCCAGGCUAACCUAGUCUACAGAGUGAGUUCCAGGACAGUCAAGGCUACACAAAAAAAAAAAAACCUCUUUCUCAAAACAAAACAAACAAACAAAAAGUAAGGAAACACUUAAAAUAAUUUAUCAUCAGACAUGGUGAUACAGUCCUGUGAUCUCAGCAUUUUAGAGGGAGCCACAAAAGGAUCAGAAGUUCAAGGUCCCCAACUAAGGGCAUAGUAAAUUCAAGGCCAAUAUGGGCUACAUGCAUACCUGUCUCAGAAACUGAAGCAAAGUACAUUGUAAAGUAUUUUCCUUAUUAUUGUAUGUGUACCACUGUUUGCCUACAUAUGCAUAUGUAUAUCACAUAUAUGUCAGAUGCCUGUGAAAGCCAGAAGAGAACAGUGGAUUCCGUGGACCUGGAGUUAUGGCUAGUGGUGAGCUGCCUUGCUAGGAAACAAAUCCAUGUCCUCUCCCAAAACAAGUACUCUUAGCCACUGACCAUCUCUCUAAAGCCCAAAAUAAAUUUAACAAAUUUACCUCUCCUCUUCUCUUCUCCUCAUGGAGGCCAGAAGAGGACAACAGAUUCCCUGAAAUUGUCCUUAGAUGUUGUUGUGAACCAGCAAGUAUAGACACUGGAAUCUGAACUCAGGCCCUCUGCCAGAGCAGCAAGUGCUCUCUCUGCUCCUGCCCACUGAGCCAUUUCCCCGGCCCUGUGUGACUCUGCUUUUAAAACGUUUGCUAAGAUAUCGGAGCCAAAUGUACGAAGUAGCCAUAUGACCUUUCUGUCCAAAAGUAAUGUUUUAAAUAAAUGCAGCGUGAGUGACGGGAAAUUAACUGCUGAUUUGAACAGUUGCCGUCAGUUUCCAUGACUGUCUCAAGAGGAGCCUUUUCACAGUAUUUACAGACUUGUCAAACAGUAUUAAGUGAUGCCUUCAUGGUCUACACAAAGGCCUUUUUUCACCUACUUCUGGCUGAAAACUUAUGGGUCACUUUUAUUAUGGGUCCUUAUUUUCUCUGGCUGAUCCUGAAAAUGCUCAUGACAUCCAUAAACUGCUAACAGCCCCAGUUUAAUCUCUCAGAACUCGGUUGUCCCUUGUGUGUCCUCACUGCCCAACAUCUUGCAUAGGUCUUCUGCCAGUGCCUGCAUUCUUAUUUUUUUUAGCUUCCUGAAUCCUUAUUUCUUUGAGGUUGAUGAACCUCAUUAAGGGGGUAAAAAAGAGAGCGUGCACGCUAUGCAACCUCCAUUACUCCUGGGCCUGAGGUAAAAUGUCAAGGAACCCUUCCUCUAACGCUUUCAGGAAAGCUCCCGGGGAGGAGGACCUUGGCCCCUUCUCACUUCCUGAAGCUUAAGAGAAACUGACAAGAUUAUAAACUUUUGGGUCACUUUUCUUAACAUUUCUGAUCGCUCAGGUAAACUGCACUCUCACUUCCUCCCUACUAAUAUCAGCUUACAGUAAAUACUGCAUAACCAGUUUCUUAACCACAAUUUGUCGUUCAGUUUGAAUGUGUACUUAAGUUUGGGACAGAGGUGAGAACUGGAGGUGAAAGAUCAGUCAGCCCCUGUCUAAAAGCUUUCUUGGUGAGCCAGUAGCAACCACAAAGCAGGAAGCAGAAGGGAGAGGGCAGAUUCAGCCGGGCAGAGUGAGUAGAAGCCAUCGGGUUUUGUUUUGUUUUGUUUUAAUCUUACUCUAAGUGCAUCACUGUUGCUUGCAUGUACGUCUGAGGGUAUUGGAGCCUCUGGAGACAGUGAGCCCCCAUGUGAGUUCUGGAAAUUGAACCGUGGUCCUCUAGAAGAGCAGCCAGUGCUCUUAACUGCUAAAGCAUCUCUCCAGCCCUCCAGCCCUGGAGUUCUUUUAACAAAUGUUUAUUGGUGAAAUGGCUCAGCAAGAAUGAAGGCAUUGGCACAGAGCCUAACAAACUGAGUUCAAUCCCCAAGGCCCAUAUGGUGGAAGGGAGAACUGAUCCCAGCAAGUGGUCCUCUGACCCUGCAUCUCUGACCCUGCAUGUGUACUGUGGAAAUCUCCUGCAUGUAUACAUAUACAAGUCCUCUCCCUCUCCCUCCCCCUCCCUCUCUCUCUCACAUGCACAAUAUAAAUAAAUGUUAUAAAAAUGGUUUUGUUUUUAUUUUUGUUUUUUAGAGGCAGGUUCUCUCUACAUAGCCCUGACAGUCCUGGAAAUCACUAUGUCGACCAGGCUACACUUGAACGCACAAAGAUCUACCUGCUUCUGCCUCCCAGUGCUAGGAUUAAAGGCAACCAGACCCAGCAAAUGUAAUAAAAAAUGCUUUUAAACUUG
rnacentral:lncRNA from 1 species